rnacentral:rRNA from 1 species
GCCUGAUGCGCCAUGCCGCGUGUAUGAAGAAGGCCUUCGGGUUGUAAAGUACUUUCAGUUGUGAGGAAGGGGGUGUCGUUAAUAGCGGCAUCUCUUGACGUUAGCAACAGAAGAAGCACCGGCUAACUCCGUGCCAGCAGCCGCGGUAAUACGGAGGGUGCGAGCGUUAAUCGGAAUUACUGGGCGUAAAGCGCAUGCAGGUGGUUCAUUAAGUCAGAUGUGAAAGCCCGGGGCUCAACCUCGGAACUGCAUUUGAAACUGGUGAACUAGAGUACUGUAGAGGGGGGUAGAAUUUCAGGUGUAGCGGUGAAAUGCGUAGAGAUCUGAAGGAAUACCAGUGGCGAAGGCGGCCCCCUGGACAGAUACUGACACUCAGAUGCGAAAGCGUGGGGAGCAAACAGGAUUAGAUACCCUGGUAGUCCACGCCGUAAACGAUGUCUACUUGGAGGUUGUGGCCUUGAGCCGUGGCUUUCGGAGCUAACGCGUUAAGUAGACCGCCUGGGGAGUACGGUCGCAAGAUUAAAACUCAAAUGAAUUGACGGGGGCCCGCACAAGCGGUGGAGCAUGUGGUUUAAUUCGAUGCAACGCGAAGAACCUUACCUACUCUUGACAUCCAGAGAAGCCAGCGGAGACGCAGGUGUGCCUUCGGGAGCUCUGAGACAGGUGCUGCAUGGCUGUCGUCAGCUCGUGUUGUGAAAUGUUGGGUUAAGUCCCGCAACGAGCGCAACCCUUAUCCUUGUUUGCCAGCGAGUAAUGUCGGGAACUCCAGGGAGACUGCCGGUGAUAAACCGGAGGAAGGUGGGGACGACGUCAAGUCAUCAUGGCCCUUACGAGUAGGGCUACACACGUGCUACAAUGGCGCAUACAGAGGGCGGCGAACUUGCGAGAGUGAGCGAAUCCCAAAAAGUGCGUCGUAGUCCGGAUUGGAGUCUGCAACUCGACUCCAUGAAGUCGGAAUCGCUAGUAAUCGUAGAUCAGAAUGCUACGGUGAAUACGUUCCCGGGCCUUGUACACACCGCCCGUCACACCAUGGGAGUGGGCUGCAAAAGAAGUGGGUAGUUUAACCUUCGGGAGGCGCUCACCCCUUUGGGUCAUGACUGGGACG